GUGGAGCAACUCUAGACACGUAAAUUGUGUGCUCAUUGUAUUUGAUAUGCUCCUGCACUGGCGUUCUGUCACUUGCAUGAUGUGGAAGAGGCAAUAUCUUUGUGUUUUCCUAAGUUGAUAAGCUGAAAGUAUAAACUUGUAGAUAGAGUCACAAGGUACCAUAGUCCUGUAUCCAUUUAAGAAUUGCAGAUACAUGUGUAGUUCAUCAAUCGCAAAAUAUAGUUGGCAUAAUUGUUUGCUGGUAAUUCAAUUAAUCUCGUGUUGAGGUUGCCUGGUGUUAAAAUUGAUUUUGUGUCCUUUUUUUUUAUGGGAGCUAUGAAUAAUUAGUUCCGUGUUGAUUCAAUUUAGUUUCCUUGACACAAUUCACAUGUUCUUGUCUGCCCAAGGCGCAUAGUGAAGCGCUUUGGUGAACUCACUGCUGAUGAGGCUACUGAUCUGUGGCUUUCAGCGCAGAAGAUUGGCAAUCAGCUUGAGCGUUAUCAUAAAGCAUCAUCACUUACAUUUACAAUUCA
rnacentral:lncRNA from 1 species